UUUACAAACAAAACACUAAGCCUAGCACCCCCUCACCAUCAGCAGCCGCCACUCCCUACCCCCUUUCACCCUCAGCACACUAAACUCACAUACACGGCAAAAUCGGAGAGGGAAAGAAACCCGAGGGAGGAGAAGAAGAAUGAAGGAGAGGGGGAAGAAGGAGAGGAGCACAGAGUUCAAGGAGAGAGAGAGAAACUGAAUGCGAGGAAGGAGAAACUUCCGUCGUCGCGUCCUGGUGCCACUGCUGAGCCGCCGUCGACGCUGUUCAGAGAGAAGCAGAGGAGAAGAAGAGGGGGAGGUCGUCGCCACUGCCUGGUCGUCGCCAUCGCGUCCUGUUCUGUCAUCGUCAUCGUCGUGAGGUCCGCGUCGCCGUCGUCGAACUCUUGUCACCCUGCGCCAUCGAGUUUCCUGUCACCACCGCCGCCCCUGGAAGCCGUUCCUGCUGCCACCGAAGCUUCAAAGUCGCCGCCAUCGUAGUGGUGGAGGCCCAAGGAGAGAGAGAGAUGAACCAGGAGCCCAACGGGAGAGAGAAUUGGGAGCUUCGCGGGAGCUUCGUCACUGCCCAGCCGUCGUCGUCACUACGGGUUGCAUCGCUGAGCCCCUGGCUGCUGAAAAACGGCGUUGUCAUCAUCAGGAUCCAUUUUGCCGCUGAGGUUUUCCACCAUCACCGGAGCCGCUGUUGUUCUGUUGUCACUGUUGUUGGAGGAGGCAGUCAAAGCUGCUGCUGUGUCAUUCUGGUUGUUUCUCAUGAUAAGUCAUUGUUUCUGUGAUCUUGCUGUUUAUAUUGCUUGGAAAUCAACGAGGUUGCUGUUGCGAAUUAAGAAUAAAAGGGAAUUGUCGCGUUUAAUUUCUGGAUUUUGACUAAUCGAGUUAGGGCCUUUUUUUAAACUAAUUUUACAUUCAAGAAUUGUUACAAGUCGAUAUUAAUAUGAAAAAUAUAUUUUUAUGGUUACGUGAGUCUUAUGGAUUGAACUGAAUUGUUUUGGAUGGAUGUGAAUAUUUAUCUGAUUGAUUUAUUGAAUUAUUGAGAAGGCUGGUUAUUCUUAUUUGUUGAUUUAGUUUGUUGAAUUAGUCGUUGUUGGACUGGUUUCUUGAAAUUGAUUUCUGGAUUAUGAUAGAAUAAUUUGAGAUAUUAGGAUUGGUCUGAUUUUAGAAAUGAUGUGAAAAGAGUUUGAGAAAUGGUUUGGUUGGGAACUGAGAAGGGUAGCAAAGUCCGAAUUUUAGGGGAGGUGUUACCGAAAUUUUUAUGAGAAUUCGGAAGUUUUAUUUUUGGUUAAUUUGAUUGAAGAAUUAUUUUAUUUGAUUUUGAUUUAACUAAAAAAAGAGUUAUGAUUUAAGAAUUUUAAUGAAUUUAAAAGAAAAUGAGUUUGGUUUGAUUAAUUUUAAUCAAAAGGGAUAUGUGUUGAGUACUUUUAAAGAUUUUCGAGCUAUUAAAGUAAUGGAUUUGAGGAUAAAUACUUUUGGGAUUUUUAAUUAGGAGUUUCAAUUUCUAAUUGGUAUGGCUUGAACCUUGUUGAAAAAGUUUUAAAACUUGAAAUGGUUUUGAAGUUGGUUUAUGAUUUAACUUAUUUAAUUUUGAGACGACGAUUGGAGUCCGUGAGGAUACUUUAAAUUGAGAUUUUGAUUCUUGAGAAAGUUUUGUAAGUUAGUUUAAAAAGAUGAGAUUGGUUGUCGCUCUCCUAAAGUCUAAAAACCUUGUUGAGUGAUUUAACUAAUAAAUAAUUUUCUUUUGUCUUUUGAAAGAGGUUUGAGUUUGAAAUGGUUUGACUUAGUUUGGAAAUUUUCAAUUAAGUGAGAAUUAAGUUUUGAAAGAAGAAUUGAUUAUUGAAGUCGAUUUGAGACUUUUGGAUUUGGAAUAAAAAUGAGUCUUAUUGAAUUGAUUCGAAUCAUAGAUGAGGUUGAGAAUUUUCUCUCUUGUUAUGGUGGACAACCUUGAGGUUGAGGAUUCCCUCGCUUGUCACACCGGAGAGUUGGAUAGAAGGUCGAAGAUUCCCUUCAGUUCAGUUUUGUAUUGUUAAUUCGAUUUGAUUAUGUUUGAUUGAAAAGAGAUUGAUUGAUAUUUGAGCUUUCGGGGUAGAUGCAAGGAUUGUGGUUUUGUCUCGCUUGCUCCUAGAUGGUAUUUGAGUUUCUUGGUUAGACGCAAGGAUUGUAGUUUUGUCUCGCUUGCUCCGGGUUGGUAUUUGUUGACGUUCCAUCGCAAGAUGUGGCCAGACACUUAAACCUUUUCGGAUAAUUCCUCCAAGGAAAGUGAAUUUCCCUUGGGGUUGCGCGCACCAAUGGACUGUCCAGGGUUCGCUACUGUACAUAUUGGGUUUGGCUGUAUAUCCGACAGAUGAGCUCAUUGGCCAUAGAGCAGGCAUGCAUCAUUUGUAUUUACGUGACAUUGUUUGUGUGUGCAUAUUGUAUUUGGUUUGCCUAUGUGAGUAUCUCUGUUUAACUGCUAAUUGUCAUACUUGCUGUAAUUGCUCUUGAUUGUGUUUGAACUUUAUUACUUGUGAUUGUGACUGGUUGGUCCGGAGCGUGGUGGUUUAGUUGGUGAUUUGGUUAUGCUUUGGGUAGGAGGCCAUGAUUUGAUUUUGUGUUGGGCCGGAGGAUGUGAUUUGGUUAUGUUUGGGUCGGAGGCCGUGAUUGGAUGAAUCGGUGGUGAUUUGGUUAGUAUGGUCCUUUGGUCUGUAAUGAAACCCUUUUGAUAUUAUGUUUGAAUGGCCUUUAUAAAAUUUAAAAUAGAAAUAUGGAUUUUUAGAUAAUUAACCAUUAGUUUUCAAAAAAAUUCAUAAGACGAACGAUGAUCAUUGCUUUUGAGAUUCAUUAUUCUUUUCAUUCGUAUCCUCUUAUGACAAUUCUGAAAUCCUCUACUGAGAACCUGCAAGGACGAUGUUCUCACCCCCCGAUAGACUUCUCUUUUCAGGACGGACGAGAAAGCUUAUGAAGUUUUUGUUGAGUUCUUAGCUAUUGUGUUUUUGUUUGGAUAUAUUAGUCAUAGUUUACCUCUCGCCUUUGUUUGUAAGUUACUUGAAUGAGAAGUCUAGUAUGUUUAUAUAUAUUUAUAUAUGUAUAUGAAGAUUGUGAUUGAAUUUGGUUAUAUAUGCAUGUUUGAAAAUGAAAAAGAACCUUUGGUUUUUCAAAGAAAGUAGCGAUACGGUUUUCGAGUUAAAUGUUCAUAUUUUAAUAUUAAAUAUAUGGAAGUUGUCGUAAUAUUUCUUGCUAUUAGAGUACACUACAAGAAAUAGUCUAAUUAUCGACACAAAAAAUCGAUGGUUAGAUUUUCCGUCGAUAAUUUUCGACGGCUUGUUGUCGAAUUUUUAUCGUCACAUUAUCGACGAAAUGGUGGGUGAAAUUUUUUUUCUUUAAAAUCAACGGACUGAUUGUCUAUUUUAAUAAUUAUAAUAUCAGCAUCUUUUUCCGUCGAUAAAUUUAGACGAUUGAGAUUUCUUUCUAAAAUUAAGUGGAAGGUAUAAAUUUAUUAUAUAAAAUAGACGGCUAGAAUGUUGAUUUUUAUUUUUAUUAAAAUCGACAAAACUACCGUCUAUUUUUAUCAAUCAAAAAUCAUACCCGCAUUUAUUUCCUGCAUCCAACGUAUCACUCAAUUUCUCCAAAAUUAAUCCCAAACCUUCAAAGAUUCAGAACAUACAUACACUAAUUAACCCCAAAUCUCAGUGAGGUUGCUUCUUCUUCUCCAACCCGAGAUUAGACGCCAAAGAUGGAGUCACGGUCACGGAGAGAGGCAGAGAGCUGCCGGAGAGCAGAGCUUCUUCUUCUCCCCCGCCGAGCCUGCCGCCGCGCCAUCCUCUUCAUUUCUUCCACAGAUUCGUCGUUGCAACAUCUUUGCCGGUCGCCGUCGCUAUGGGCCUGUCGCCGUCGCAGCUUCUUAAACAAGAAUCAGAACAGUUUCGGCAAUAGAAAGCUUCUAGAGAGAAAGAACUUCUGCAAUUAAGGAAGGAGGGAAGGAAAAACGAGUUUGAAAGGCACAAGCUGCAAGCAUUAAAUCAGCGCCAAAAACUGGUGAAGGUUCCUAGUUGUUAGAUGAUAGUUUUUAUAUAAUUUUUAACUUGAACUUUUUUGUUUACACUAGAGAUAAAUAUACUAAGAUUGAAGAUUUUGUGGUGGUGAUGGCGGCUUUAUGUGCAUUUACUUUUUCACCUUUUAUACGCAACACCUGUACUUAAAAAUAUAGGAAAAAUUACUUCUUAAAGAAUGAAAUCUAUAUGAUGAUAUGUUUCAAUUUAGUGGUAAAUAGCUAAGACUCUAGCUAUUUAGGCUCUAAUGAAAGUUGUGAAGAUGGGCAGGCAGGCAGCAACAUGAUGGUUAUGUCACUGCUGUUAAUUGGAUCAAGUAUUACUUCAAGGGCAUAUUGGGUUCUGUCAUCGAGUCUCAUUUCAAGGAGGGUCUUGUCCAAAUGGAGGACCCAAUUUCUGACAAUAAUUUAUCUCAAAAUGAAGAGCCCAGGAGACCCUUGCGAAAGCUUCACUACAGAUUAGACCUAAUGAAGUAAUAAAGCAAGGGGCAAGAAUUCAUAUCCCUGUGCCAAUUGCCGAGGCUAGAAUUUCCAAAAGAUAUGAUGUUAUACCAAGUGGAACACUAUAUCCCAAUGCUGAUGAAAUUAAGUAUC